GACAGAGGGUGCAAACGUUGUUCGGAAUUACUGGGCGUAAAGCGAGUGUAGGCGGUUUCCUAAGUCGGAUGUGAAAGCCCCGGGCUCAACCCGGGAAGUGCACUCGAAAACUGGGAGGCUAGAGUAUCGGAGAGGUUGGUGGAAUUCUCCGGUGUAGAGGUGAAAAUUCGCUAGAUAUCGAGAGGAACACCGGUGGCGAAGGCGGCCCAACUGGACGAAUACUGACGCUGAGACUCGAAAGCGUGGGGAGCAAACAG
rnacentral:rRNA from 1 species